GACGAACGCUGGCGGCGUGCUUAACACAUGCAAGUCGAACGGAAAGGCCCUGCUUUUGUGGGGUGCUCGAGUGGCGAACGGGUGAGUAACACGUGAGUAACCUGCCCUUGACUUUGGGAUAACUUCAGGAAACUGGGGCUCAUACAGGAUAGGAGCUCCUGCUGCAUGGUGGGGGUUGGAAAGUUUCGGCGGUUGGGGAUGGACUCGCGGCUUAUCAGCUUGUUGGUGGGGUAGUGGCUUACCAAGGCUUUGACGGGUAGCCGGCCUGCGAGGGUGACCGGCCACAUGGGGACUGAGAUACGGCCCAGACGCGUACGGGAGGCAGCAGUGGGGAAUAUUGCACAAUGGGCGGAAGCCUGAUGCAGCAACGCCGCGUGCGGGAUGACGGCCUUCGGGGUGUAAACCGCUUUCGCCUGUGACGAAGCGUGAGUGACGGUAAUGGGUAAAGAAGCACCGGCUAACUACGUG
rnacentral:rRNA from 1 species